AGGGGAUUAGCUCAGUUGGUAGAGCAUCGGAAUUUGACUCCGAGGGUCGCAGGUUCAAGUCCUGCAUCCCCCG
rnacentral:tRNA from 1 species